rnacentral:rRNA from 1 species
GACGAACGCUGGCGGCGUGCUUAACACAUGCAAGUCGAACGGAAAGGCCCUGCUUUUGUGGGGUGCUCGAGUGGCGAACGGGUGAGUAACACGUGAGUAACCUGCCCUUGACUUUGGGAUAACUUCAGGUAACUGGGGCUAAUACCGGAUAGUAGCUCCUGCUGCAUGGUGGGGGUUGGAAAGUUUCGGCGGUUGGGGAUGGACUCGCGGCUUAUCAGCUUGUUGGUGGGGUAGUGGCUUACCAAGGCUUUGACGGGUAGCCGGCCUGAGAGGGUGACCGGCCACAUUGGGACUGAGAUACGGACCAGACUCCUACGGGAGGCAGCAGUGGGGAAUAUUGCACAAUGGGCGGAAGCCUGAUGCAGCAACGCCGCGUGCGGGAUGACGGCCUUCGGGUUGUAAACCGCUUUCGCCUGUGACGAAGCGUGAGUGACGGUAAUGGGUAAAGAAGCACCGGCUAACUACGUG